rnacentral:rRNA from 1 species
CCUACGGGUGGCAGCAGUGAGGAAUAUUGGUCAAUGGACGGAAGUCUGAACCAGCCAUGCCGCGUGCAGGAUGAAGGUUCUAUGUGUUGUAAACCGCUUUUGUCCAGGGGCAAACCUGGAUACGUGUCUUCAGAUGAAAGUACCGUAAGAAAAAGCAUCGGCUAACUCCGUGCCAGCAGCCGCGGUAAUACGGAGGGGGCAAGCGUUAUCCGGAUUUAUUGGGUGUAAAGGGUGCGUAGGCGGCCAUGCAAGUCAGAAGUCAAAGGCGGGGGCCCAACCCCCGGACUGCUUUGGAAACUGGAUGUCUGGAGUGGUAGAGAGGUAUGCGGAAUGCGUGGUGUAGCGGUGAAAUGCGUAGAUAUCGGGCAGAACACCGGUGGCGAAGGCAGCUUACUGGACAGUAACUGACGUUGAGGCACGAAAGCGUGGGUAUCGAACAGGAUUAGAUACCCUGGUAGUC